rnacentral:rRNA from 1 species
GAUGAACGCUGGCGGCGUGCCUAAUACAUGCAAGUCGAGCGAACAGACGAGGAGCUUGCUCCUCUGACGUUAGCGGCGGACGGGUGAGUAACACGUGGAUAACCUACCUAUAAGACUGGGAUAACUUCGGGAAACCGGAGCUAAUACCGGAUAAUAUAUUGAACCGCAUGGUUCAAUAGUGAAAGACGGUUUUGCUGUCACUUAUAGAUGUAUCCGCGCCGCAUUAGCUAGUUGGUAAGGUAACGGCUUACCAAGGCAACGAUGCGUAGCCGACCUGAGAGGGUGAUCGGCCACACUGGAACUGAGACACGGUCCAGACUCCUACGGGAGGCAGCAGUAGGGAAUCUUCCGCAAUGGGCGAAAGCCUGACGGAGCAAAGCCGCGUGAGUGAUGAAGGUCUUCGGAUCGUAAAACUCUGUUAUUAGGGAAGAACAAAUGUGUAAGUAACUAUGCACGUCUUGACGGUACCUAAUCAGAAAGCCACGGCUAACUACGUG